CGCGGGGUGGAGCAGCCUGGUAGCUCGUCGGGCUCAUAACCCGAAGGUCGCGGGUUCAAAUCCCGCCCCCGCUAC
rnacentral:tRNA from 1 species